GAUGAACGCUGGCGGCGUGCCUAAUACAUGCAAGUCGAGCGAACGGACGAGAAGCUUGCUUCUCUGAUGUUAGCGGCGGACGGGUGAGUAACACGUGGAUAACCUACCUAUAAGACUGGGAUAACUUCGGGAAACCGUAGCUAAUACCGGAUAAUAUUUUGAACCGCAUGGUUCAAAAGUGAAAGACGGUCUUGCUGUCACUUAUAGAUGGAUCCGCGCUGCAUUAGCUAGUUGGUAAGGUAACGGCUUACCAAGGCAACGAUGCAUAGCCGACCUGAGAGGGGGAUCCGGCAAACUGGAACUUGGAACCGGUCCAGAAUCCCAAGGGAAGCAGCCGUAGGGAAUCUUUCCGCAUGGGGGAAAGCCUGACCGAGGAAAGGCGCGGGGGUGAUGAAGGGCUUUCGAUCGGAAAACUCUGUUAUUAGGGAAGAACAUAUGUGUAAGUAACUGUGCACAUCUUGACGGUACCUAAUCAGAAAGCCACGGCUAACUACGUG
rnacentral:rRNA from 1 species